rnacentral:rRNA from 1 species
GACGUAGGAGGCGAGCGUUGUCCGGAUUCAUUGGGCGUAAAGAGCACGCAGGCGGUUUGGCAAGUCGGAUGUGAAAACCCGAAGCUCAACUUCGGGCCUGCAUCCGAAACUGCCCGACUAGAGGUAGGUAGGGGGGAUCGGAAUUCCUGGUGUAGCGGUGAAAUGCGCAGAUAUCAGGAGGAACACCGGUGGCGAAGGCGGAUCUCUGGGCCUUACCUGACGCUCAGGUGCGAAAGCUAGGGGAGCGAACAGG